rnacentral:rRNA from 1 species
AGAGUUUGAUCCUGGCUCAGAAUGAACGUUGGCGGCGUGGAUUAGGCAUGCAAGUCGAGCGAGAAUUCCCCGCAAGGGGGAGGACAGCGGCGAAAGGGAGAGUAACACGUGGAUACCUACCCUCGGAACUGGGAUAGCUGCGGGAAACUGCAGGUAAUACCAGAUAAUGUCCCCGGACCAAAGGUGUGAUUCCGUCCGAGGAGGGGUUCGCGUCCUAUUAGCUUGUUGGUGGGGUAACGGCCUACCAAGGCAAUGAUGGGUAUGGGGUGUGAGAGCAUGCCCCCACUCACUGGGACUGAGAUACUGCCCAGACACCUACGGGUGGCUGCAGUCGAGGAUCUUCGGCAAUGGGCGCAAGCCUGACCGAGCGACGCCGCGUGCGGGAUGAAGGCCUUCGGGUUGUAAACCGCCGUCAGAGGGGAGGAAAUUCCAAGGGGUUCUCCCUUUGGAUUGACCUAUCUUCAGAGGAAGUACGGGCUAAGUUCGUGCCAGCAGCCGCGGUAAGACGAACCGUACGAACGUUAUUCGGAUUCACUGGGCUUAAAGGGUGCGUAGGCGGCCCGGAAAGUUGGGUGUGAAAGCCCUCGGCUUAACCGAGGAAUUGCGCCCAAAACUGCCGGGCUUGAGGGAGACAGAGGUGAGCGGAACUUANGGUGGAGCGGUGAAAUGCGUUGAUAUCCUAAGGAACACCAGGAGCGAAAGCGGCUCACUGGGUCUCUUCUGACGCUGAGGCACGAAAGCUAGGGGAGCGAACGGGNUUAGAUACCCUGGUAGU